rnacentral:lncRNA from 1 species
GUCCCCCCAGAGCUGGGAUUUGCUCCGUUGUUUUCCCGGAGCCCCUUUGGGGUGUCCCCCCGAUCCCGUGGACUCUGGGAAUGUUCCUUCCCAGCUUCCUGGAUCCUCCCAAACCCCCUGGGCCAUCCCAAUCCAGAGGGAAGGGGGCCGGAGCCGUCGGGAGGGAUUUCCCGGGCUCCGCAGGCUCUGGCUUGGGAACUCAUCCCAGUUUUCUCCAUCCCAGCCACGGACAUCCCCGAGCUCCAGGAGGCCCUGGAGAACGAGCCGGUGAGACAGCGGGGCCCCAUCCCAAACCUGGACCUCUCCUUUCCCUUUUCCCAUCCUGGUAUUCCCAGUUUUUCCUCAAUUCCCGUGAAUUCCCACAUCCCACCAGGCACGGUCCCGCCCCAUCCCGCUGCUCUGUAGGGACGGAUUCCCCGUUUUUCACGGGGAAUUCCAUGACCGUGGCACCGACCGAGGGAGCAGCGCCCAGAUCCAGCCCAAAUCCUCCGUUCCUCAGUUUCCCCAUUCCUGAGGCUGUUCCCGCCCCUCCGCUGGGAUCCGAGUCCACCCUAACUCCGCGCUCUUCCCGCAGGAAGAGGAUCCGAUUCAUCCCAAAACCCAGAGCGUCUCCCCUGGCCUCGAGGAGAUCCACCUGGAGCAGCCUCUCCCGCACCCCUGGAACAAGCGGCCGGCUCCCUGCACGGAGAGGGGCAGCCAGAUGUCUCCCAAAAUCCUGAAGCUGGAAUGCGACCAAGAGCCGGGCCCCAGCCAUCCCAAAUCCCGCUGGGAAUUCCGGAUGGAGCCCGGCCCCUCCACGUCGUGGCACAACCACGUCAGGGCCGGUGACCCAGGUGGGGACCGGGAACAGCACCGGACUUGUUAUCCCGUUUUUCCCGGGAUCCAUGGGAUUGCUCCCAGCCUUCCUGAGCCCCCAUUGCAUGGGAACUUUGGCCAAGGAUGGGGAUGCGAGUGAUCUGUGGGGUGGGGGAUCCAUGGGAUGAGGGAUCCAUGGAGUGAGGGAUCCAUGGAAUUCAGGAUCCAUGGGGAUGAGGGAU